UAUUUAUGAAUAAUUCAUUGAAAAAAUGAUAUUUUCUCUUAGAAUGUAAUGAAUUUUAUCGAAAAUUAGUAAAAAUGAGUUAAUUUUAAUGAUUUGAAAAAUAGCAUAUCAGCCACUCCAAAAGUGCUCUAGCUCUCUCAUCAUACUAUCUACUUGUAACCUAUAACACUAAUAUUGAAUGUAUAAGGAGGCAGUUAAUUUA